rnacentral:rRNA from 1 species
AUUGAACGCUGGCGGCAUGCCUUACACAUGCAAGUCGAACGGUAACAGGUCUUCGGAUGCUGACGAGUGGCGAACGGGUGAGUAAUACAUCGGAACGUGCCUAGUAGUGGGGGAUAACUACUCGAAAGAGUGGCUAAUACCGCAUGAGAUCUACGGAUGAAAGCAGGGGAUCGCAAGACCUUGUGCUACUAGAGCGGCCGAUGGCAGAUUAGGUAGUUGGUGGGAUAAAAGCUUACCAAGCCGACGAUCUGUAGCUGGUCUGAGAGGACGAUCAGCCACACUGGGACUGGGACACGGCCCGGACUCCUACGGGAGGCAGCAGUGGGGAAUUUUGGACAAUGGGCGAAAGCCUGAUCCAGCAAUGCCGCGUGCAGGAUGGAGGCCUUCGGGUUGUAAACUGCUUUUGUACGGAACGAAAAGCCCCGGGUUAAUACCCUGGGGUCAUGACGGUACCGUAAGAAUAAGCACCGGCUAACUACGUGCCAGCCGCCGCGGUAA